rnacentral:rRNA from 1 species
UUAAGCAUAUCAAUAAGCGGAGGAAAAGAAACCAACAGGGAUUGCCCUAGUAACGGCGAGUGAAGCGGCAAAAGCUCAAAUUUGAAAUCUGGCUUCGGCCCGAGUUGUAAUUUGUAGAGGAUGUUUCGGGCACCGCCCCGGCGUAAGUCCCUUGGAACAGGGCGUCAUAGAGGGUGAGAAUCCCGUCUGGCGUCGUGGUAGGGCCCAUGUGAAACUCCUUCGACGAGUCGAGUUGUUUGGGAAUGCAGCUCAAAAUGGGUGGUAAAUUUCAUCUAAAGCUAAAUACUGGCCAGAGACCGAUAGCGCACAAGUAGAGUGAUCGAAAGAUGAAAAGCACUUUGAAAAGAGAGUUAAACAGUAUGUGAAAUUGUUGAAAGGGAAGCGCUUACAACCAGACUUGAGCCCGUCGGUUCCCCCUCGCUUCUGCGUGGGCUACUCCGGCGGGUCCAGGCCAACAUCGGUUCGGGUGGCUGGUCAAAGGCCCCGGGAAUGUACCUCACCUUCGGGUUAGGCUUAUAGCCCGGGGUGUCAUGCGGCCUACCUGGACCGAGGAACGCGCUUCGGCUCGGAUGUUGGCGUAAUGGUUGUCAGCGACCCGUCUUGAAACACGGACCAAGGAGUCGAAGAGCUAUGCGAGUGUUUGGGUGUCAAACCCGUACGCGUAAUGAAAGUGAACGGAGGUAGGAAGCUUCGGCUGCACUAUCGACCGAUCCUGAUGUUCUCGGAUGGAUUUGAGUAAGAGCAUAACUCUCCGGACCCGAAAGAUGGUGAACUAUGCCUGAAUAGGGUGAAGCCAGAGGAAACUCUGGUGGAGGCUCGCAGCGGUUCUGACGUGCAAAUCGAUCGUCAAAUUUGGGUAUAGGGGCGAAAGACUAAUCGAACCAUCUGGUAGCUGGUUCCUGCCGAAGUUUCCCUCAGGAUAGCAGUAACGUUUUCAGUUUUAUGAGGUAAAGCGAAUGAUUAGAGGCCUUGGGGUUGAAACAACCUUAACCUAUUCUCAAACUUUAAAUAUGUAAGAAGUCCUUGUUACUUAGUUGAACGUGGACAUUUGAAUGUAUCGUUACUAGUGGGCCAUUUUUGGUAAGCAGAACUGGUGAUGCGGGAUGAACCGAACGUGAGGUUAAGGUGCCGGACUGCACGCUCAUCAGACACCACAAAAGGUGUCAAUGCAUCUAGACAGCCGGACGGUGGCCAUGGAAGUCGGAAUCCGCUUAGGAGUGUGUAACAACUCACCGGCCGAAUGCAUUGGCCCUGAAAAUGGAUGGCGCUUAAGCGUGCGACCUAUACCUCGCCGUCAGGGUUGACAUGAUGCCCUGACGAGUAGGCAGGCGUGGAGGUUUGUGACGAAGCCUUGGGGGUGACCCCGGGUCGAACAACCUCUAG